UACGUAGGGGGCGAGCGUUGUCCGGAAUCAUUGGGCGUAAAGCGCGUGUAGGCGGUUCGGUAAGUCUGCUGUGAAAGUCCAGGGCUCAACCCUGGGAUGCCGGUGGAUACUGCUGAACUAGAGUGCGGAAGAGGCGAGUGGAAUUCCCGGUGUAGCGGUGAAAUGCGCAGAGUAUCGGGAGGAACACCAAUUGCGAAGGCAGCUCGCUGGGACGUUACUGACGCUGAGACGCGAAAGCGUGGGGAGCGAACAGG
rnacentral:rRNA from 1 species